ACUUGAAUAGCUUAUUUAGAGCGCAACAUUGAAGAUGUUGAUGAGGCGUAUAGUGCCUUUGGGUA
rnacentral:tRNA from 1 species